rnacentral:rRNA from 1 species
UACGGAGGGGGCUAGCGUUGUUCGGAAUUACUGGGCGUAAAGCGCGCGUAGGCGGAACGAUCAGUCCGGUCUGAAAGCCCCCGGCUCAACCGGGGAGGGUGGCUGGAAACUGUCGUUCUUGAGGGCGAGAGAGGAGGGUGGAAUUCCUGGUGUAGCGGUGAAAUGCGUAGAGAUCAGGAGGAACACCCGUGGCGAAGGCGGCCCUCUGGCUCGACCCUGACGCUGAGGCGCGAAAGCGUGGGGAGCGAACGGG